rnacentral:tRNA from 2 species
GUCGGUGUAGCUCAAAGGUAGAGCAGGCGUCUGUUAAACGCUCGAUGGUGGUUCGAUUCCACCCUCCGACG